rnacentral:rRNA from 1 species
UACGUAGGGGGCUAGCGUUGUCCGGAUUUAUUGGGCGUAAAGAGCGUGUAGGCGGCCAGACAGGUCCGUUGUGAAAACUGGAGGCUUAACCUUCAGACGUCGAUGGAAACCGUCUGGCUAGAGUCCGGAAGAGGAGAGUGGAAUUCCUGGUGUAGCGGUGAAAUGCGCAGAUAUCAGGAAGAACACCCGUGGCGAAGGCGGCUCUCUGGGACGGUACUGACGCUGAGACGCGAAAGCGUGGGGAGCGAACAGG